rnacentral:tRNA from 3 species
CGAGAUGUAGCGCAGUCCGGUAGCGUACAUGUCUGGGGGACAUGGGGUCGCAGGUUCAAAUCCUGUCAUCUCGACCA